GACACGGUCCAAACUCCUACGGGAGGCAGCAGUGAGGAAUAUUGGUCAAUGGACGCGAGUCUGAACCAGCCAAGUAGCGUGCAGGAUGACGGCCCUAUGGGUUGUAAACUGCUUUUGCGCGGGGAUAACACCCUCCACGUGCUGGAGGUCUGCAGGUACCGCGCGAAUAAGGACCGGCUAAUUCCGUGCCAGCAGCCGCGGUAAUACGGAAGGUCCGGGCGUUAUCCGGAUUUAUUGGGUUUAAAGGGAGCGUAGGCCGUGAGGUAAGCGUGUUGUGAAAUGUAGGCGCCCAACGUCUGCACUGCAGCGCGAACUGCCCCACUUGAGUGCGCGCAACGCCGGCGGAACUCGUCGUGUAGCGGUGAAAUGCUUAGAUAUGACGAAGAACCCCGAUUGCGAAGGCAGCUGGCGGGAGCGUAACUGACGCUGAAGCUCGAAAGCGCGGGUAUCGAACAGGAUUAGAUACCCUGGUAGUCCGCGCGGUAAACGAUGGAUGCCCGCUGUGGCGCGCCUGGCGUGCCGCGGCUAAGCGAAAGCAUUAAGCAUCCCACCUGGGGAGUACGCCGGCAACGGUGAAACUCAAAGGAAUUGACGGGGGCCCGCACAAGCGGAGGAACAUGUGGUUUAAUUCGAUGAUACGCGAGGAACCUUACCCGGGCUUAAAUUGCAGAUGAAUUACGGUGAAAGCCGUAAGCCGCAAGGCAUCUGUGAAGGUGCUGCAUGGUUGUCGUCAGCUCGUGCCGUGAGGUGUCGGCUUAAGUGCCAUAACGAGCGCAACCCCUCUCCGUAGUUGCCAUCGGGUGAUGCCGGGCACUCUGCGGACACUGCCACCGUAAGGUGUGAGGAAGGUGGGGAUGACGUCAAAUCAGCACGGCCCUUACGUCCGGGGCCACACACGUGUUACAAUGGCCGUCACAGAGGGGAGCCGGGCGACCGGCUCAUGAUCCUUAAAAACGGUCUCAGUUCGGACUGGGGUCUGCAACCCGACCCCACGAAGCUGGAUUCGCUAGUAAUCGCGCAUCAGCCAUGGCGCGGUGAAUACGUUCCCGGGCCUUGUACACACCGCCCGUCAAGCCAUGGGAGCCGGGGGUACCUGAAGUGCGUAACCGCAAGGAGCGCCCUAGGGUAAAACUGGUGACUGGGGCUAAGUCGUAACAAGGUAGCCGUACCGGAAGGUGCGGCUG
rnacentral:rRNA from 1 species